GACGAACGCUGGCGGCGUGCUUAACACAUGCAAGUCGAACGGAAAGGCCCUGCUUUUGUGGGGUGCUCGAGUGGCGAACGGGUGAGUAACACGUGAGUAACCUGCCCUUGACUUUGGGAUAACUUCAGGAAACUGGGGCUAAUACCGGAUAGGAGCUCCUGCUGCAUGGUGGGGGUUGGAAAGUUUCGGCGGUUGGGGAUGGACUCGCGGCUUAUCAGCUUGUUGGUGGGGUAGUGGCUUACCAAGGCUUUGACGGGUAGCCGGCCUGAGAGGGUGACCGGCGUCAUUGGGACUGAGAUACGGCCCAGACUCCUACGGGAGGCAGCAGUGGAGAAUAUUGCACAAUGAGCGGAAGCCUGAUACAGCAGCGCCGCGUGCGGGAUGACGGCCUUCGGGUUGUGAACCGCUUUCGCCUGUGACGAAGCGUGAGUGACGGUAAUGGGUAAGGAAGCACCGGCUAACUACGUG
rnacentral:rRNA from 1 species